rnacentral:misc_RNA from 1 species
AACGCACCUUGCACCCUUUGGUAUUCCGAAGGGUAUGCCUGUUUGAGUGUCUUGAACAUCUCACAACCAACGAUUUGUUCUUCGGAACGAGUGGUCGGCGGUGGUAUUGAGCGAUGUUGCCAGCGGUGGCGCCCGUCUUCGGACGACGGCACGGAUUGGCUCGCUUCAAAUAAAUUAGCUAGCGCUUUCCUCGGCGACGACAGCAUGCGUGAUAAUUUUUUCUCGAAUGUGAUGCGUCGGACGGGGGCGCACGGACUUGUGCCGUGUGUCGGCCAGCUUCUGAAAAAACCAAGACUGGGGAUCGGGUAACAGCGAUCUCCCCACACUUCUUAGACCUCAAAUCAGGUAGGACUACCCGCUGAACUUAA